ACCUUUACCUUUCUCUUUUUUUCUUUUUUCUUUUCUUUUUAAUUUUUGUCUUUGUUAUUAAUUUUUAUCUUUAUUUAUUGUAUAGUGUGUAGAAUGUAGUGUGUAGGUUGUAGUGUGUAGAGUGUAGUUUGUAGAGUGUUGUUUAUAUUGUGUGUAGUUUGUAGUGUUGUUUGUAGUGUGUUGUUCGUAGUGUGUAGUGUGUAGGUGUUGUUGUUGUUAUUGAACCCCUUACCCUUUCCUUUACCCUAACCCAAACCCUAAUUUAUCUUUUUUUAAAUUAUCUUUAUUUUGUUAUUAUCUCUAUUUUUUAUUAUCUCUAUUUUUUAUUAUCUCUAUUUUUUAUAAUCUCUAUUUUUUAUUAUAUCUAUUUUUUAUUUUUUUAGUUAGAGCUAGUCAGGCUCUAGAGCUAGUGUAGUUAGGGAAAUGAAAAAAACAAAAAAGCUGAAUAUCUGGGUGUGGGCUGAGGAUCCUCUACGGCCUCCGUCAAUCCCCUCCUUGAUGGAGAAAAAGAGCUCCGAGAAGGCUGUUCUGACUACAAGUAAAGAAAGUACUGUCAAGAAGCUCCCAGCAAUAAGUAAAAGGGAAAGGUGCCCCCUCUGGGAACUUGCCGGAAAAAAAGAAGAGGAAGCAAAGCAAAAAAAGGCCAGUAUCGAAGCCCGCAAAAUUGAAGAAAAAUUCAAAAUAGAUCUUCUGGCCCGCCAAAAGAAGCUUGAAUAUAAACAAUGACGGGACCUCCAUUUGCUAGAUUACUGUUGUAUACAGGGGGGCCCUGGGAGAUAGAGUGGUAUAUUAAUAAUGUUUCUUUUUUAUUUUAUAUUAGGAGUCCCUGGAGCGGCGGCAGCAAGAAAAAAAAGUACGCCGAGAAAGGGAGCUGGCAGCGGCGGCUCUCCUGGAGAAGAAGGAAGGGAUCCGCCUGAUCUACACGGGGUCGGACUGGAUACGGCCCCCCUGCAUUCCAGGGGAUCCCUUCCUGACGGGAAAUAAGGAGAGCCGCCAACCAAUGUUUCAACAUCGCCAGCCCUACUUUCUGCCUCCAAUAAAAGAAGCCAACGCCGCUGCUCCCGGGACCAGCUCUACAACAUUCAAUGAGACGAACUGGCCAUUUUUUUUCCCGAAGCCGCCACCCAGGACGUGAUGAUGUAAGAAAUUGUUUUGGAAAAUUAAAAAGCUUUUGUCUUUGUUAUUAAUUUUUAUCUUUAUUUAUUGUAUAGUGUGUAGAAUGUAGUGUGUAGGUUGUAGUGUGUAGAGUGUAGUGUGUACAGUGUAGUUUGUAGAGUGUAGUUUGUAGAGUGUUGUUUAUAUUGUGUGUAGUUUGUAGUGUUGUUUGUAGUGUGUUGUUUGUAGUGUGUAGUGUGUAGAUGUUGUUGUUGUUAUUGAACCCCUUACCCUUUCCUUUACCCAAACCCUAACCCUAAUUUAUCUUUUUUUUUAAAUUAUCUUUAUUUUUUUAUUAUCUCUAUUUUUUAUUAUCUCUAUUAUUUAUUUUCUCUAUUUUUUAUUUUUUUAGUUAGAGCUAGUCAGGCUCUAGAGCUAGUGUAGUUAGGGAAAUGAAAAAAACAAAAAAGCUGAAUACCUGGGUGUGGGCUGAGGAUCCUCUACGGCCUCCGUCAAUCCCCUCCUUGAUGGAGAAAAAGAGCUCCGAGGAGGCUGUUCUGACUUCAAGUAAAGAAAGUACUGUCAAGAAGCUCCCAGCAAUAAGUAAAAGGGAAAGGCGCCCCCUCUGGGAACUUGCCGGAAAAAAAGAAGAGGAAGCAAAGCAAAAAAAGGCCAGUAUCGAAGCCCGCAAAACUGAAGAAAAAUUCAAAAGAGAUCUUCUGGCCCGCCAAAAGAAGCUUGAAUAUAAACAAUGGCGGGACCUCCAUUUGCUAGAUUACUGUUGUAUACAGGGGGGGCCCUGGGAGAUAGAGUGGUAUAUUAAAAAUGUUUCUUUUUUAUUUUAUAUUAGGAUUCCCUGGAGUGGCGGCAGCAAGAAAAAAAAGUACGCCGAGAAAGGGAGCUGGCAGCGGCGGCUCUCCUGGAGAAGAAGGAAGGGAUCCGCCUGAUCUACACGAGGUCGGACUGGAUCUGGCCCCCCUGCGUUCCAGGGGAUCCCUUCCUGACGGGAAAUAAGGAGAGCCGCCAACCAAUGUUUCAACAUCGCCAGCCCUACUUUCUGCCUCCAAUAAAAGAAGCCAACGCCGCUGCUCCCGGGACCAGCUCUACAACAUUCAAUGAGAUGAACUGGCCAUUUUUUCUUCCGAAGCCGCCACCCAGGACGUGAUGAUGUAAGAAAUUGUUUUGGAAAAUUAAAAAGCUUUUGUCUUUGUUAUUAAUUUUUAUCUUUAUUUAUUGUAUAGUGUGUAGAAUGUAGUGUGUAGGUUGUAGUGUGUAGAGUGUAGUGUGUACAGUGUAGUUUGUAGAGUGUAGAUUGUAGAGUGUUGUUUAUAUUGUGUGUAGUUUGUAGUGUUGUUUGUAGUGUGUUGUUUGUAGUGUGUAGUGUGUAGGUGUUGUUGUUGUUAUUGAACCCCUUACCCUUUCCUUUACCCGAACCCUAACCCUAAUUUAUCUUUUUUUAAAUUAUCUUUAUUUUUUUAUUAUCUCUAUUUUUUAUUAUCUCUAUUUUUAUUAUCUCUAUUUUUUAUAAUCUCUAUUUUUUAUUAUAUCUAUUUUUUUAUUUUUUUAGUUAGAGCUAGUCAGGCUCUAGAGCUAGUGUAGUUAGGGAAAUGAAAAAAACAAAAAAGCUGAAUACCUGGGUGUGGGCUGAUGAUCCUCUACGGCCUCUGUCAAUCCCCUCCUUGAUGGAGAAAAAGAGCUCCGAGGAGGCUGUUCUGACUACAAGUAAAGAAAGUACUGUCAAGAAGCUCCCAGCAAUAAGUAAAAGGGAAAGGCGCCCCCUCUGGGAACUUGCCGGAAAAAAAGAAGAGGAAGCAAAGCAAAAAAAGGCCAGUAUCGAAGCCCGCAAAACUGAAGAAAAAUUCAAAAGAGAUCUUCUGGCCCGUCAAAAGAAGCUUGAAUAUCAACAAUGGCGGGACCUCCAUUUGCUAGAUUACUGUUGUAUACAGGGGGGCCCUGGGAGAUAGAGUGGUAUAUUAAUAAUGUUUCUUUUUUAUUUUAUAUUAGGAGUCCCUGGAGCGGCGGCAGCAAGAAAAAAAAGUACGCCGAGAAAGGGAGCUGGCAGCGGCGGCUCUCCUGGAGAAGAAGGAAGGGAUCCGCCUGAUCUACAUGGGGUCGGACUGGAUCCAGCCCCCCUGCGUUCCAGGGGAUCCCUUCCUGACGGGAAAUAAGGAGAGCCGCCAACCAAUGUUUCAACAUCACCAGCCCUACUUUCUGCCUCCAAUAAAAGAAGCCAACGCCGCUGCUCCCGGGACCAGCUCUACAACAUUCAAUGAGACGAACUGGCCAUUUUUUCUUCCGAAGCCGCCACCCAGGACGUGAUGAUUUAUACAGAGAUUUACACAGGAUCCUCGAUGACAAUGACCGGCCCUUUGAAUUACCGAAGCCCACACCCAGGACUUGAUGCUUUAAAAAAUAAAGUUUUGAAAAAUAAAUAUUUGACUUUGAGGUUUUUUUCACUAGCAUUGCUUUAAUAAAGUUUUGAAAAAUAAAUCUUUGACUUUGAGGGUUUUUUUUUUACUUUACCAUUGGUUUAAUAAAGUUUUGAAAAAAUA